GACGAACGCUGGCGGCGUGCCUAAUACAUGCAAGUAGGACGCAGUUGCGAACGGGUGCGUAACGCCUAGGUGACUACCUAUUAGAGGGGGAUAACUAUUGGAAACGAUAGCUAAUACCGCCUACUAGUAGAUGGACCUUCGUUGUAUUAGCUAGUAGGCUGGGUAAUGGGCUACCUAGGGAACGAUACAUUGGCGAGCUGGGGGGGUGAACGGGCACACUUGGACUUGGGCAAGGCCCAGAAUCCGACGGGGAGCAGCAGUAGGGAAUCUUCGGCAAUGGGGGGAAAGCUUACUGAACCACGGCGCGGGAGUGAAGAAGGUUUUCGGGGCUUAAAGCUCUGUUGUGAAGGAAGCGGUACUUAACCAGAAAGGGACGGCUAACUACGUGCCAGCAGCCGCGGUAAUUC
rnacentral:rRNA from 1 species